GAAGGGCUUCUGUGACCUAGCUCUCUCUUUUGGGGACCACUUCUCAACUAUCAUCAGUCUGUCCAGAAGAUGGAAUCUGAGGAAUGUUAACCAAUUAAUACAAAAGAGAUGAAAGGAAGUCCCACUAAAACUCAGUCUGUACACAAGAUGGAAUCUGAGGUAUGUUUACAAUUAUAGAAAAGAGAUGCAAGUCCCACUAAAAUUGUUCCCCAAUAAAAUGAGUGACACUACGAGAGACAAAAGCUGAAACCCUCAAAACAUUCCAACCCGUACUAUUCCAAUGAGGCAUAACAUGAUGAAUGAAUGUGGUAACCUGCCAACUCCAAGACUAACUGCAUCAAUGCAGUGCUAUAAAGUGAUGGUUUUCUCUAUAUAGAAUUAUUUCCAUGAGUGCUGCUUCCAUAAGCUCCAACCACUGAAGCGCGGCAUCAAACUUCAUAACCUGCGGGCACCAUAUUGCUUCUUGGUGACCGUCUGUUCACACACCGGCAACAUUGACUCUGAUUCAAUUAAGGCAAACCUGCAUUGGACCACAAUUGAUGCACCAAUUUUACAGGACAGAGGGCAAGAGGAUCAUGGGUUGUCUGUUUCAAUGCAGCAGCUUAGCUCAAGUGCAGCAAUAGACUCAUCUCAAGAGCUGCACUGAUCCUCUUAAAGCACCUUUUGACCUUAAAAUCAUAAUUAAUGGUUCCAGGUACGUAGUUUAUCCAAGUCAAAAAGUGCUAAUUCAUGCAGACUCGAGAAGUGAAAUUGAUAUUGUUUCAUGCAUGACAUGCGCAUGCCAAAGUUCUUGCAACAAUGGAUGCUAUCAUGCCAAUCUUGUUUGUAUGUUCGUGUCCAAAACAUAUAGCAGCUACAUAUUCAGAUAAUGCUAGCAUUUGAUAGUCAUCCUGCUCAUGAAGGAAACAAAUGAUCUCAUGAAAACCUUCUAUAGCAACACUAUAAGUUGUUUGGAAAAAGAUAUCAUGGGCAGGGCGUAGGGUGGGUGAGGAGGUUUGUUUCUUUUAAUGUGGUUUGGGCAGAACUAAAAUGCCCCCACAGAAGUUUCAAAAGCCGCACUAAGUCACUAAAAAAAAAUGCCUUGUGGUUUACACCACAUUGCAAUGUUAAGUGUGACUGGUUAACCAAUUUAGAAUUUAAUGUUAAUAUGUGAUCAGAAAAGCAAAGUCAGUAGGAUAUAUUAAGAAGCACGUUUAAUCAAGUCAGUUCUUCAGAUUGAUUUGAUUCUUCAAUAAACAAUGCCCUUAAAAUUUGUUGUUCAAACAGUUUGUGGCAUCAAGAAAUGCAUCUUUAGAGUUCAAGACCACCUUCCUAAAACAUUCAAAAAUUACUCAUCAAUUUAUUCUCAUCAACUAAUGCUAUGGUAAUUCUUGUACUUCGUCUAUCAACAAAAAGCCAUCAUUGUCUCAUGUUUCAAAUUCAACAUGAUUUCAAUCAAUAACCAAAAAAAGCCAUGCAAACCAUCGAGAAGCAAUUUAUGAUAGAAUCAAGUAAUUUGAUUAAUAAAAGCUUCCACAUAUCCCCAACCAUCAUCAAUAUCAGGUCCCACCCAAUAGCCAACUAUUAUUUUGUGAGUACAUGAACUUACAAUCGUACAAAGAGGAAAAAGUUCACCAAAAUGAUCUAAAGAAGUUAAAUAUCCACGGCAGCUCCUCACAGAAAAUAUAUCUCUAUUUGAAUGGUAGAAUGCAAGAAGGUUGGUUGCUGUUCUGAUGGUUGCUUGGCUUGAAAGUCCAGCCAGGGGUACUUUCCUCAGUUGUAAUUCCUGGAAGAAAAUUCCCAACAAGGAUGAACCUCAAGUAUUUUACAUAUUAUUGUAUUAUACAAAUAGAUGAAACUGGUCAUAUAACAAAGAAAUAGUACAGCAAUAGCAUUAUCAAGUACCAAACUUUAAGAUAGUAUUAAAAUUCAAAAUUUGCUGCAGUUCUUAAUUUUUCCCGACCAGACCUGGACCGCCUAGCUCUGUGUGUGUGGGUGGAGGAAGAUCAGAUCAAAUGUUGAACCAUAGUAACUUCCUCGUUCACCAAAAAUAACUCCUAGGUCUCUCCCCUUUUACAUCCCUCCAGCAGACUCUAUGACGUACUUCGCAACAAAUAAAGUAAAAACUCUAAAAUUUUCCCCAGCCAUGUUGCAAAAGCAAGCAAACUGCUCUCCUGAUGUGCAUUGCUGAUGGUACAAGACUCGAAACCAACCUCAAGUAAACGAAUUUCUAAAUAUCCCGGCCAUGUUUAGAGUGCCUUUAGAACAGUUUUCACCAUGGUGGUUGUCCCAGCAACCAUAAAGAAAACUAAUAAAAUCAGACCUCAAAUUAUUCACUGGAGUAAGAAUUUUCGGGCACAGAGAGGCGUAGAGAAGCUAAUGGAUACUACACACGCCAUUGAAGAGGAAGCGGGCACUUGCGAAGAGCGAAUUUGCAAUUUUUCCUACAAUCUCUGGGUUUUGGUUUGUAG
rnacentral:misc_RNA from 1 species